rnacentral:piRNA from 1 species
UCCGAUUGUAACGAGACUUUA